rnacentral:rRNA from 1 species
UGGGGAUGUGUUCACCUCCUUU